rnacentral:rRNA from 1 species
UACGAAGGGGGCUAGCGUUGCUCGGAAUCACUGGGCGUAAAGCGCACGUAGGCGGCUUUUUAAGUCAGGGGUGAAAUCCUGGAGCUCAACUCCAGAACUGCCUUUGAUACUGGAGAUCUUGAGUCCGGGAGAGGUGAGUGGAACUGCGAGUGUAGAGGUGAAAUUCGUAGAUAUUCGCAAGAACACCAGUGGCGAAGGCGGCUCACUGGCCCGGAACUGACGCUGAGACGCGAAAGCGUGGGGAGCAAACAGG